rnacentral:misc_RNA from 1 species
GUCAAACAAUGAGCAGCUCUAAUUAGUCGAGAUGCAAGCACCCUACCAAAAUUUGCCUCCUCCAAGGAAUAUAUACGUAGCUCAUACAUAACCGGGUGGGCUGCAAUUGGAUGUCUGGUAGGUGAAGUUGCAGCAUCGUGACGAAAUUGUCCAUGGAAACCAGGAUCAGCUUCCAUGCCAUGACUAAUACAAGCAACACAAGCUGCUAAAAAUCUUCCACAUGGUGAAAAGUGGGCACCCAUUUCACUACAGAGCACAGCAUGUGGUAUAAUUAAGCGACAUUUUUCAGCAUCAAGCGGCGCACAUGGAACCUUAAUAUCAUAAGGCCACACUCUGAGUUUCACAGUACAAGGUAAUUCAGAAGAAGCUGCUGCAGUCAGGGAAGUAGCUAUCUCUGACUGGAACCGACUCAUAAGAGCUUGAGAAUCACUUUCAUUAUGUGCAAUGUUAAUGGGAACAGCACUAUCACCAGAUCCAGCAACAGGUAUUACUCUAGAGCGUGAAGAACGGUGCCGGGAACCAGAUCUUCCAGACCUUGGAUGAUUACCGUUUGAAAUGAUGGACGGAACUGCAGGACGAUGUUCUACUUCACCAUAAGCUGAUACAAUGUUUGUGGCACCACUAUGCUCAGAAUGAAUCGCUUGUCGGCCUGCUUGGCUUUGGCCAAUCAACCAUCCUUGCAAGAAUGGUAAGUCCCAGUAUGCAGGGUCACUGAAAGGAAAAAACUGAUUGUUUCUCUCCUCAGUCGGCGCAUCAGUCUCCAUAGGAUCACCAACAGGGUUAGAUGCAUUCUCUGUAUCCCUAACAGAGGAACUAGUCUGAGCUUCUUGCGCAGGAGAUAAAGUUGGCUCAACAGGGGACAAUAAAAGUUCAUACUGGCCAGAAGGAGUUGAGUAAGUGAGAAGUCUGACAGAGGCAGAAGUGUCUGCUCUGUUCUGUGUACUGUCAGAACCCAUGUCUGCAUUACUCUGCUGCAAAGGCAUUCUAGGAUCACCUCUAGCGAUUGAUGGCCAGAUCAUGAACGGUAGAGACAUGAUAGGCAAUUCAUUCGCUGAAGCAGAUCGAUAAGUGGAGUGAGCAUCUGUCAAAUACACAGUAGGAGGAGGAUACCGCAAGUUACCCAGAGAAGUUGUAAAUGUCAUUAAAGGAUCUGAUGAGUCCAGAUCAUUGACCUCAGCUGUUAAAAGAUAUGGGGCGCCAUGUGGGUGGAAAUGCACAGCACGAAGUGAACGUCUUGUCUUUAGUAUGAUAGCUGGUGAAGAUGCCUCCCCUCUUCUGUUGUAGUGCCACAUAUACAGCUUGUGCCCUGAAGCAACAGCGAGAACUUCCCCUUGGGCAUGGAAGGCAAUGGAUGCAAUAGGUCGGUAAAAAUCACGUGA